rnacentral:rRNA from 1 species
CGGCUAACUCCGUGCCAGCAGCCGCGGUAUACGGGGGAUGCAAGCGUUAUCCGGAAUCAUUGGGCGUAAAGCGCCUGUAGGUUGUUUAAUAAGUCUGUUGUUAAAGACUAGGGCUUAACCCUAGAAAAGCAAUGGAAACUACUAGACUAGAGUAUGGCAGGGGUAGAGGGAAUUUCUAGUGUAGCGGUGAAAUGCGUAGAUAUUAGAAAGAACACCGGUGGCGAAAGCGCUCUACUGGACCAUUACUGACACUCAGAGGCGAAAGCUAGGGUAGCAAAAGGGAUUAGAUACCCCUGUAGUCCUAGCCGUAAACGAUGGAUACUAGAUGUUGUAUGUAUUUUACAGUAUCGUAGCUAACGCGUUAAGUAUCCCGCCUGGGGAGUACGCUCGCAAGGGUGAAACUCAAAGGAAUUGACGGGGGCCCGCACAAGCGGUGGAGCAUGUGGUUUAAUUCGAUGCAACGCGAAGAACCUUACCAGGGCUUGACAUACUGCGAAUCUCUCUGAAAAGAGAGAGUGCCUUCGGGAAUGCAGAUACAGGUGGUGCAUGGCUGUCGUCAGCUCGUGUCGUGAGAUGUUGGGUUAAGUCCCGCAACGAGCGCAACCCUUGUUUUUAGUUACCAACUUGUUGGGUUUUCUAGAAAGACUGCCGGUGACAAACCGGAGGAAGGUGAGGAUGACGUCAAGUCAGCAUGCCCCUUAUGUCCUGGGCUACACACGUGCUACAAUGGUUAAGACAAAGAGUCGCGAGCUUGUAAAAGUCAGCUAAUCUCAUAAACUUAGCCUAWGUUCAGAUUGUAGGCUGCAACUCCCUUNCC